rnacentral:rRNA from 1 species
GUGGGGAAUAUUGGACAAUGGGCGCAAGCCUGAUCCAGCAAUGCCGCGUGGGUGAAGAAGGCCUUCGGGUUGUAAAGCCCUUUUGUACGGGAAGAAAUCAUACAGGUUAAUACCCUGGGUGGAUGACGGUACCGUAAGAAUAAGCACCGGCUAACUUCGUGCCAGCAGCCGCGGUAAUACGAAGGGUGCAAGCGUUAAUCGGAAUUACUGGGCGUAAAGCGUGCGUAGGUGGUUGUUCAAGUCUGUCGUGAAAGCCCUGGGCUCAACCUGGGAAUGGCGAUGGAAACUGGGCGACUAGAGUGCGGUAGAGGAUGGCGGAAUUCCCGGUGUAGCGGUGAAAUGCGUAGAGAUCGGGAGGAACAUCCGUGGCGAAGGCGGCCAUCUGGACCAGCACUGACACUGAGGCACGAAAGCGUGGGGAGCAAACAGGAUUAGAAACCCGUGUAGUCC